CAGAAGGGUGCGAAGUUUGUUUGGAGUCAAAUUCCAUUCAAAUCGUAUCGAAUGGAGAAAUUAAGUUGGAGGUCUUGGAAGACUCCCACCAACCACAAGCAUCAUCUAAACCUCCAGCUAUGGCCAGUCUUGGAAAAGUUAUCUGUGAUGCUGCUGAUGAGAACAAUGAUGCUGAAGGAAAAAUCGACAACGAAGGACGCCAAGAGGAAAUGACC